rnacentral:rRNA from 1 species
UACGUAGGGAGCAAGCGUUGUCCGGAAUCAUUGGGCGUAAAGCGCGCGUAGGUGGCCACAUAAGUCCGUUGUGAAAGUCAAAGGCUCAACCUUUGAAUGCCGAUGGAUACUGUGUGGCUAGAGUACGGAAGAGGCGAGUGGAAUUCCUGGUGUAGCGGUGGAAUGCGCAGAUAUCAGGAGGAACACCAAUAGCGAAGGCAGCUCGCUGGGACGUUACUGACACUGAGGCGCGAAAGCGUGGGGAGCGAGCAGG